AUCGCUUCUCGGCCUUUUGGCUAAGAUCAAGUGUAGUAUCUGUUUUUAUCAGUUUAGUAUAUGAUACGCCCCCUAUCUGGGGGCCAUAUAUUAAAUGGAUUUUUAGUACAGGGAGAUGGAAGAAGAGCUUGCUCUGUCCACUCCACGCAUUGAGCUAGUAUUGCAGUACCUCCAGGACCGGUGCACCAAAA
rnacentral:snRNA from 1 species